GUUUCUACGGGGGGCAGCAGUGAGGAAUAUUGGUCAAUGGGCGGGAGCCUGAACCAGCCAAGUCGCGUGAGGGAAGACGGUCCUAUGGAUUGUAAACCUCUUUAGGCGGGGAGCAAUGCCGGGCACGCGUGCCCGGAGGGAGAGUACCCGCAGAAUAAGCAUCGGCUAACUCCGUGCCAGCAGCCGCGGUAAUACGGAGGAUGCGAGCGUUAUCCGGAUUUAUUGGGUUUAAAGGGUGCGUAGGCGGAAUGCCAAGUCAGCGGUAAAAUCGCG
rnacentral:rRNA from 1 species